GUUCUUGGGCAUUUCUUUUUGACUUCAAAUCUGGCUCCCACUUUCUGGAUCGAUGACAUCGUUGACGUUGGAAUAAGGAAUUUGUCGUCAUGCGACACUAGUUUAAAGGAACUUGUAAUAUGUUUAUAACUGAAGAUGUUAAGUGGGCCCAUCAACGUGCAUCCGUCCCAUGACCCACAUGGAAAUUUCUGUGCAAGUACCCGACAUUUUCUUGACUUGCACCAAAAGUAAGAACGCACGCCAAGAUUUUUGCCUGCCAACUAGCUAGCACCUCUAUCCUUACCUCUUGCCCGAAUAAGAAUAUGUAUGUAUGUAUGUAUAUAUAUAUAUAUACUAAAAUCCAGCUGCAUGAAGAGUCCAGUUGCAGUCAAGAGUAUGGCUACAAAAGCCUGCUGUAUAUUGCUCGCUGAAGCAAUUGGGGCAAUAAUAUAGAGGACCACAGGCGGCUGGUUGGUCAAGUAUCAUCAUUAGAUGUUUCCACAGCGAUAGCUCUGCUGUGAUCUCCAUCCUCUUUCUAAUUGCCUGCAAAAGAAAAUAUACCAAAGAUAUUAGCAAAUAGUUGAAGAAACUGGAAGCUUACUUGAGAUUGGAGCUAUGGAAGCAACCGAUUGAGCCAAGACAGAAAAGAGGAGGAUAUGGCUGGAG
rnacentral:lncRNA from 1 species